AAGGUUUUAAGUUAAAUUAAACUAAUAUCCUUCAAAGUUAUAAAUAAAGAUUCCUCUUUAAGCCUUA
rnacentral:tRNA from 1 species